GCUGAAAGCAUAUAAGUAGUAAGCCCACCCCAAGAUGAGUGCUCUCUCCUCCGACUUCCCUAGAGCCUCCGGUAUCACAGCCGAGACAGCGACGGGUUCUCCACCCAUACGGGGAUGGAGCGACAGAAGUAUGGAAAUAGGAUAAGGUUGCGGCGAGACGAGCCGUUUAAAUAGGUGUCAAGUGGAAGUGCAGUGAUGUAUGCAGCUGAGGCAUCCUAACGAACGAACGAUUUGAACCU
rnacentral:ncRNA from 1 species